AGGUCAUAGGAUAAAACAAAUUGAGAAUUUGUCGCUAUUUGUAAAUUGUAUCCUGACUUAAGUUGGGCAAAGUGUCUUAUUUUUUUAAAGUAUUUAAAAGUAAAAUUACAUGUUAAUACGUAGUAUUAAUGGCGAGACUCCUGAGGGAGCAGUGCCAGUCGAAGACAGGGGCCCCAACACAGAAGCUGACAUAUAGUCAGCUUACAACAAUGUGCCGGUUGGGGUGGCUGAGACGGCCCCCUAGGAAAGCGAAGCCAUUCAAUACGAAGUAUUGUAUAAAUAGAGAACAGCAG
rnacentral:ncRNA from 1 species